AUGGUGGACUUUGCAUUGCCUGAGGAUCUGAAGAUGAAAAUAGUAGAGUUAGUGGGUUCCAAUGUGAAACCGACGCUGGUUCGCGAUUUGACGUUUUGUGAGCACGAUUUUGGCAAUCGUUUGGUGCUUGUGCUACCUGAGUCUUUGUCUGGCGUGCCAAUCAAUCUGAAGAAAAGGUAGUCGCUUACCGUACGGAUGAUCGGACCUUCGCUUAAUGUGUUUGAUAUGACUCUUAGUAGGAGUGCAGAUGGUGGACAUGUGUUUUAAAAGAUUGGAACUCAGUGAUGCAAACAGAGAAUUUUAAAAAAGGAGACACUGUGUAUCUAUGGUCCUUCAAAGACCCUGACGACAUUCUUUGGUUUGUUAUGCAUGCAUAA
rnacentral:lncRNA from 1 species